CAUAAUGAGUACUGUUUUACCCACUCCAGCUCCCCCGAAUAGUCCGAUUUUUCCUCCACGGCGAUAAGGGGCUAAAAGAUCUACUACUUUAAUUCCUGUUUCAAAAAUAGAUAAUUUUGUAUCCAACUGUAUAAAGGCGGGCGCAGAUCUAUGAAUAGGAGACGUUGUACUAGUAUCUACAGGCCCUAAAUUAUCAACAGGCUCUCCGAGCACGUUAAAAAUUCGUCCCAGAGUCGCUCCCCCAACUGGAACACUUAUAGGAGCUCCUGUGUCAAUCACUGCCAUUCCUCUCGUUAGACCUUCUGUAGCACUCAUAGCUACAGCCCUAACUCGAUUAUUUCCUAAUAAUUGCUGUACCUCACAAGCCACAUUAAUUGGUUGACCAACACUAUCUCGACCUUGAACUACCAGAGCGUUAUAAAUAUUUGGCAUCUUGCCCGGGGGAAAGGCUACAUCUAGUACCGGACCGAUGAUUUGGACGACACGCCCCGGGUUUUUUUUUUCAAGCGUGGAAACCCCAGAACCAGAAGUAGUAGGAUUGAUUCUCAUAAUAAUAAAAUAAAUAUGUCGAAAUGUUUUUUCCAAAAUUAUCGAAUUCAAAAAAAAUGUCCGCUAGCACGUCGAUCGGUUAAUUCAAUAAAAUCGGAAUUAGCACUCGAUUUCGUUGGCACCAUGCAAUUGAACCAAUCCAAUUGUUUACUUAUUCAAUGAGACUGAGUUAAUUUGGCAGCUCACCCAACCUAUUUUCAUUUAACAAUCUCAAGUGGAUGAAUCAAAAUCUUGAGAAAGUCUUUCAUUUGUCUACCAUUAUAGACAAGCCCAUCCAUAUUAUCGAUUCUAUGGAAUUCGAACCUGAACUUUAUUUUCUAUUUCUAUUACGAUUCAUUAUUUGUAUCUAAUGGGCUCCUCUUCUUAUUUCUUUUUUAUUUCAAUUUCAGCAUAUCGAUUUAUGCCUAGCCUAUUCUUUUCUUUGCGUUUUUCUUUCUUUUUAUACCUUUCAUAGAUUCAUAGAGGAAUUCCAUAUAUUUUCACAUCUAGGAUUUACAUAUACAACAUAUACCACUGUCAAGGGGGAAGUUCUUAUUAUUUAGGUUAGCUAGGUAUUUCCAUUUCAAAAAAAAAAAGAUAAAAAAUCAAAAUUGGGUUGCGCUAUAUAUAUGAAAGAGUAUACAAUAAUGAUGUAUUUGGCAAAUCAAAUACCAUGGUCUAAUAAUCAACCAUUCUGAUUAAUUGAUAAUAUUAGUAUUAGUUGGAAAUUUUGUGACAGAUUCCUGUGAAAAGUUUCAUUAACGCGGAAUUCAUGUCGAGUAGACCUUGUUGUUGUGAUAAUUUUUAAUUCAUGAGUUCUAGGGAGGGAUUUAUGUCACCACAAACAGAGACUAAAGCAAGUGUUGGAUUCAAAGCUGGUGUUAAAGAGUACAAAUUGACUUAUUAUACUCCUGAGUACCAAACCAAGGAUACUGAUAUAUUAGCAGCAUUCCGAGUAACUCCUCAACCUGGAGUUCCACCUGAAGAAGCAGGGGCCGCGGUAGCUGCCGAAUCUUCUACUGGUACAUGGACAACUGUAUGGACCGAUGGACUUACCAGUCUUGAUCGUUACAAAGGGCGAUGCUACCGCAUCGAGCGCGUUGUUGGAGAAAAAGAUCAAUAUAUUGCUUAUGUAGCUUACCCUUUAGACCUUUUUGAAGAAGGUUCCGUUACCAAUAUGUUUACUUCCAUUGUAGGUAACGUAUUUGGGUUCAAAGCCCUGCGCGCUCUACGUCUGGAAGAUCUGCGAAUCCCUCCUGCUUAUGUUAAAACUUUCCAAGGUCCGCCUCAUGGGAUCCAAGUUGAAAGAGAUAAAUUGAACAAGUAUGGUCGUCCCCUGUUGGGAUGUACUAUUAAACCUAAAUUGGGGUUAUCUGCAAAAAACUACGGUAGAGCUGUUUAUGAAUGUCUUCGCGGUGGACUUGAUUUUACCAAAGAUGAUGAGAACGUGAACUCACAACCAUUUAUGCGUUGGAGAGAUCGUUUCUUAUUUUGUGCCGAAGCACUUUUUAAAGCACAGACUGAAACAGGUGAAAUCAAAGGGCAUUACUUGAAUGCUACUGCAGGUACAUGCGAAGAAAUGAUCAAAAGAGCUGUAUUUGCUAGAGAAUUGGGCGUUCCGAUCGUAAUGCAUGACUACUUAACGGGGGGAUUUACCGCAAAUACUACCUUGGCUCAUUAUUGCCGAGAUAAUGGUCUACUUCUUCACAUCCACCGUGCAAUGCAUGCGGUUAUUGAUAGACAGAAGAAUCAUGGUAUCCACUUCCGGGUAUUAGCAAAAGCGUUACGUAUGUCUGGUGGAGAUCAUAUUCACUCUGGUACCGUAGUAGGUAAACUUGAAGGUGAAAGAGACAUAACUUUGGGCUUUGUUGAUUUACUGCGUGAUGAUUUUGUUGAACAAGAUAGAAGUCGCGGUAUUUAUUUCACUCAAGAUUGGGUCUCUUUACCAGGUGUUCUACCUGUGGCUUCAGGAGGUAUUCACGUUUGGCAUAUGCCUGCUCUGACCGAGAUCUUUGGGGAUGAUUCCGUACUACAGUUCGGUGGAGGAACUUUAGGACAUCCUUGGGGUAAUGCGCCAGGUGCCGUAGCUAAUCGAGUAGCUCUAGAAGCAUGUGUAAAAGCUCGUAAUGAAGGACGUGAUCUUGCUCGGGAAGGUAAUGAGAUUAUUCGCGAGGCUUGCAAAUGGAGCCCGGAACUAGCUGCUGCUUGUGAGGUAUGGAAAGAGAUCGUAUUUAAUUUUGCAGCAGUGGACGUUUUGGAUAAGUAAAAACAGUAGACAUUAGCAGAUAAAUUAGCAGGAAAUAAAGAAGGAUAAGGAGAAAGAACUCAAGUAAUUAUCCUUCGUUCUCUUAAUUGAAUUACAUUACAAUUUAAUUCGGCUCAAUCCUUUUAGUAAAAGAUUGGGCCGAAUACAACUAAGAUUCUAUUGCAUAUAUUUUGAUCAAGAUUUGAAAUACAAAAUCUAGAAAACUAAAUCAAAAUCUAAGACUCAAAUCUUUCUAUUAUUGUCUUGGAUCCACAAUUAAUCCUACGGAUCCUUAGGAUUGGUAUAUUCUUUUCUAUCCUGUAGUUUGUAGUUUCCCUGAAUCAAGCCAAGUAUUCCAACUCUUUCUACCCAUCCUGUAUAUUGUCCCCUUUGUUCCGUGUUGAAAUAGAACCUUAAUUUAUUACUUAUUAUUAGAUUUUAGAUUGUUAGAUUAGUUAGUGAUUAGAUAUUAGUAUUAGACGAGAUUUUACGAAUUUUUUUAUUUCUUUAUAUUUAUAAGAGAGGACAAAUCUCUUUUUUUCGAUGCGAAUUUGACACGACAUAGGAGAAGCCGCCCUUUAUCAAAAAUUCUAUUAUUUUUAUAUUCUUUUUAAUAAUAAAAGGGGGUUCCAACAUAUUAAUAUAUAGUGAAGUGUUCCCCCAGAUUCAGAACUUUUUUUGAAUACUCACAAUCCGUAUUAGUUAAUAAUCCUAGUGAUUGGAUUUCUAUGCUUAGUCUGAUAGGAAAUAAGAUAUUCAAAUAAAGAAUUUUAUAGCGAAUGACUAUUCAUCUAUUGUAUUUUCAUGCAAAUAGGGGGCAAGAAAACUCUAUGGAAAGAUGGUGGUUUAAUUCGAUGUUGUUUAAGAAGGAGUUCGAACGCAGGUGUGGGCUAAAUAAAUCAAUGGGCAGUCUUGGUCCUAUUGAAAAUACCAGUGAAGAUCCAAAUCUAAAAGUGAAAAACAUUCAUAGUUGCAGUAAUGUUGAUUAUUUAUUCGGCGUUAAAGACAUUUGGAAUUUCAUCUCUAAUGACACUUUUUUAGUUAGUGAUAGGAAUGGGGACAGUUAUUCCAUCUAUUUUGAUAUUGAAAAUCAUAUUUUUGAGGUUGACAACGAUCAUUCUUUUCUGAGUGAACUAGAAAGUUCUUUUUAUAGUUAUCGAAACUCGAGUUAUCUGAAUAAUGGAUUUAGGGGCGAAGAUCCCUACUAUAAUUCUUACAUGUAUGAUACUCAAUAUAGUUGGAAUAAUCACAUUAAUAGUUGCAUUGAUAAUUAUCUUCAGUCUCAAAUCUGUAUAGAUACUUCCAUUAUAAGUGGUAGUGAGAGUAACGGUGACAGUUACAUUUAUAGGGCCAUUUGUAGUGGUCAAAGUCUAAAUAGUAGUGAAAACGAGGGUUCCAGUAGACGAACUCGCACAAAGGACAGUGAUUUAACUAUAAGAGAAAGUUCUAAUGAUCUCGAGGUAACUCAAAAAUACAAGCAUUUGUGGGUUCAAUGCGAAAAUUGUUAUGGAUUAAAUUAUAAGAAAUUUUUGAAAUCAAAAAUGAAUAUUUGUGAACAAUGUGGAUAUCAUUUGAAAAUGAGUAGUUCGGAUAGAAUUGAACUUUUGAUCGAUCCGGGUACUUGGGAUCCUAUGGAUGAAGACAUGGUCUCGCUGGAUCCCAUUGAAUUUCAUUCGGAGGAGGAGCCUUAUAAGGACCGUAUUGAUUCUUAUCAAAGAAAGACAGGAUUAACCGAGGCUGUUCAAACAGGCAUAGGCCAACUAAACGGCAUUCCCGUAGCAAUUGGGGUUAUGGAUUUUCAGUUUAUGGGGGGUAGUAUGGGAUCCGUAGUCGGAGAGAAAAUCACCCGUUUGAUUGAACACGCUGCCAAUCAAAAUUUACCUCUUAUGAUAGUGUGUGCUUCUGGGGGGGCGCGCAUGCAGGAAGGAAGUUUGAGCUUGAUGCAAAUGGCUAAAAUAUCGUCUGCUUUAUAUGAUUAUCAAUUAAAUAAAAAAUUAUUUUAUGUAUCAAUCCUUACAUCUCCGACAACUGGUGGAGUGACAGCUAGUUUUGGUAUGUUGGGGGAUAUCAUUAUUGCCGAACCCAAUGCCUACAUUGCAUUUGCAGGUAAAAGAGUAAUUGAACAAACAUUGAAUAAAACAGUACCCGAAGGUUCACAAGCAGCUGAAUACUUAUUCCAGAAGGGUUUAUUCGACCUAAUUGUACCACGUAAUCUUUUAAAAAGCGUUCUGAGUGAGUUAUUUAAGCUCCACGCCUUUUUUCCUUUGAAUCAAAAGUCAAGCAAAAUCAAGUAGAGCACUAAGUUCAAUUAUUUUUUUUGUGUUUGUAGCAAAAAGUAGUUAGUUUAUCGGAAUCAAAGUAAAUAAGAUAAUAAUGGCCUUUUCUUUGGUGAUAGAAGAUCGAAUUGUAGAAAGAAUUAAAACGAAAGUUGAGGAUAACUCUUUUUUUGACCUAUAUUCCUGAUUACGAAUCAAGAAACCUUUAUCACCAAGAGUGAGUUCUUCCUUUCGUGAAAUUAGUAAAAUAAAACGAAUUUGGUCUUGUCUUAGGUAUAUAAUUUGAAAUUUCAAUAGAGAUAAUAGAGUUUUGUAUCUUUCUCUAUCUACCGAAAAACCAUUUUAGCUAAAAAUCCAUGUUGGGUCGGAUUCGAAUGAAUCCGUCGAUAAUCUGUAAAAAACUCUUUAUCUAUUUUUAGAAAAGUAGAAGACAAGAACAAAAGACAAAGAAAUGAAGAAAAAUAAUAAAGUUUAUUAUCAUACAUAUCUUUCUCAUGGAGGAGAUGAAUAAGUCCAUUUAUUUAGUUCUACAGUUCUACAUUCUUUGCACUUAUUCUUAUUAUACGUACUCAGUUAGAUUUAGAUAUAUCGAUACUUCGAUCUAUACUAAGAAUUUCAAAUUCUUCAAAUUCUAUUAAUAAUAAAUAUUAUCUAAUAUCUAAUUAGAAUUCAAAUUCUUAAUUUAAUUAUAAUUAUUACAAGAUAUCUUUAUUUAUAUAAUAACAUAAUAACAGAUACAAAUAGUAAAUCGAGGUACCCCUUCUAUGACAAAUUUGAACCUUCCAUCUAUUUUUGUGCCGUUAGUAGGCCUAGUCUUUCCGGCAAUUGCAAUGGCUUCUUUAUUUCUUCAUGUUCAAAAAAACAAGAUUGUUUAGAUCCGCUGGGACCCAAUCUCAUCCAUUUUUUUUUUUGAAAACGUGGACUUGUAUCAUAACACGGAUAUCUAUUUAUUGGAGUAUAGUAUAACAUGUGAUUUCCACCGAACAUAAAGGAAAAAACUCUUAUGCCCGCAGAAACAUGAUAUAUGGAUAUAUCAAUUCUAGCAAUUUUCAAAUAGAUCAGGAUCUCUGGAUGGCUGAAAUGUAGUCGGUGAAUCUAUAUGUAUAUCGAUAUGUAUAGUGGGAUCGUAUUAAAUAAAGAGUAUGUUAUUAUUUUAGAUUUAACCAAUUUGAUGAAUUACUCCUAAAGGUUGACAUCAAACUAGUGCUAGUUCACCUCAAACUAGUGCUAGUUGAUGAGAGUUACUUCGGAAACAAAAAAGUAAAGUCAAAUUUUUCUGGGGUAUUAUCUCAAUUCCAAUAAAAUGCAAUCGAGUAAAGUAUGACUUGGCGAUCAGACGAUAUAUGGAUAGAACUUAUAACGGGGUCUCGAAAAAUAAGUAAUUUCUGCUGGGCCUUGAUCCUUUUUUUAGGUUCAUUAGGCUUCUUAUUAGUUGGAACUUCCAGUUAUCUUGGUAGAAAUUUGCUAUCUUUUUUUCCGCCUCAGCAAAUCAUUUUUUUUCCACAAGGAAUCGUGAUGUCUUUCUACGGAAUUGCGGGUCUCUUUAUUAGCUCUUAUUUGUGGUGCACAAUUUCCUGGAAUGUAGGUAGUGGUUAUGAUCGAUUCGAUAGAAAGGAGGGAAUAGUCUGUAUCUUUCGUUGGGGAUUUCCGGGAAAAAAUCGUCGCAUAUUCCUCCGAUUCCUUAUAAAAGAUAUUCAGUCCGUUAGAAUAGAAGUUAAAGAGGGUAUUUAUGCUCGUCGUGUUCUUUAUAUGGACAUCCGAGGCCAGGGGUCCAUUCCCUUGACCCGUACUGAUGAGAAUUUGACUCCACGAGAAAUUGAACAAAAGGCUGCUGAAUUAGCCUAUUUCUUGCGUGUACCAAUUGAAGUAUUUUGAUAAAUUGAGAAUCAGAACGUUCAUUCAAUUAAAGAAAACGUAUAUGAAAGAACCAUAAAACGAAACUCUUUUUAUGGUCUUUAUGUGCACGCAAUUCAAUAACAAAUAACAAAUCGAAAUAAUAGAUUCAUCUCAGACGGCAAACCAUUUCGAAAGCAAGAAUUUUUUUUAGUUCAAUAUUUGUUGGAAUUGACACUUUAGAUCCAGAUAGAUCGUAUCUUGUAAAUUUGAAAUUCUUUCUUUUGUAUUCUUUAAUGACCAACAAUUGGAUUUCUUAAUUAAAUACUGAGAACUAGCCAAUUUAUCCUUUGCUAGUCAUUUUUUUUUUAUCAUCCUAAUAUCUUUCCCUCAAUUAUUCUAUUCCUGACUAUGGGUAAUCAAUGAAAUUUUUUCGAAAUAUUGGAUAUUUUGAUAGCAAAGGAGUUCUUUCGUCUCAAAAUCUGAAUAAUAUUCAUUACUUAAAGUGGUUCUUUCGGUCAUUCAUCGAAAGGAUACACUUAAUUUUUAAUUUGACCAAUUGAGAUAUCAGGAAACAAUAUUCUCAAUUUCUUCAUUCGAAGUGAAUUCUUAGCCUAUUUCUGUAUUCUUUCUAGAUUCAAAGACUAACCACAAAAUCACAAAGAAAAUAGAUUCAUAAGUUCGAUACCUUGUAUAAAACUCAUGUGUGUAAGAAAUAUUCGAUCGCAUAGAGUGUACGAAUGGGUUGAUUAACAAUUUACAGACGAAAAAAUGGCAAAAAAGAAAGCAUUCACUCCUCUUUUCUAUCUUGCAUCUAUAGUAUUUUUGCCCUGGUGGAUUUCUUUCUCAGUUAAUAAAUGGCUGGAAUCUUGGGUUACUAAUUGGUGGAAUACUGGGCAAUCCCAAAUUGUCUUGAAUAAUAUUCAAGAAAAGAGUCUUCUAGAAAAAUUCAGAGAAUUAGAGGAACUCCUCUUCUUGGACGAAAUGAUCAAGGAAUACUCGGAAACACAUCUCGAAGAGUUUGGGAUAGGAAUCCAUAAAGAAACGAUCCAAUUAAUCACGAUACAAAAUGAGAAUCGUAUGGAUACGAUUUUGCACUUCUCAACAAAUAUAAUCUGGUUUGGUAUUCUAAGCGGGUAUUCAAUUUUGGGUAAGGAAAAACUUGUUAUUCUUAACUCUUGGGCUCAGGAAUUCCUAUAUAACUUAAGUGACACAGCAAAAGCUUUGUGUAUUCUUCUAGUAAGUGAGUUUUUUCUCGGAUAUCAUUCACCCCCAGGUUGGGAAUUCGUUAUACGCUCUAUCUAUAACGAGGUUGGAGUUGUUGCGAAUGAGCAAACUAUAACUAUUCUUGUUUGCAUCCUUCCAGUAAUUUUUGAUACAUGUUUUAAAUAUUGGCUUUUCCGUUAUUUAACUAGUCUGUCUCCGUCAAUUUUACUGCUUUAUGAUUCAAUAACUGAAUGAUAAAGGAUCCAUUGAUAUUAAUCUAAUCCAAUUAGAAUGCUUAGUACUUUGUAGUUGUACAUAAGCAAAGUAUUGAAAAUCAUAUUUACUCUUCCUAUUUCUAACCAUCGGGAAGAUUCAUCCUAGAUUAUUCCAGCAAAUAGCAGAAUCGUGGCUAGGGAACUAUACUAGCGACCUACCCAAUUUAUUGUAGAAAUUUUCGCGAUCAAUGAUUGGACCAUGCAAACUAGAAAUGCUUUUUCUUGGCUAAAGAAACAGAUUACUCGAUCUAUUUCCGUAUCGCUCAUGAUAUAUAUCUUAACUCGGACGUCCAUUUCAAGUGCAUAUCCCAUUUUUGCACAGCAGGGUUAUGAAAAUCCACGAGAAGCGACUGGGCGUAUUGUAUGUGCCAAUUGCCAUUUAGCUAAUAAGCCCGUGGAAAUUGAGGUUCCACAAGCGGUACUUCCUGAUACUGUAUUUGAAGCAGUUGUUCGAAUUCCUUAUGAUAUGCAACUGAAACAGGUUCUUGCUAAUGGUAAAAAAGGGGGGUUGAACGUCGGAGCUGUUCUUAUUUUACCGGAGGGGUUUGAAUUAGCUCCUCCCGAUCGUAUUUCUCCUGAGAUGAAAGAAAAGAUUGGCAAUUUGUCUUUUCAGAGCUAUCGCCCCAAUAAAACAAAUAUUCUUGUGGUAGGCCCUGUCCCUGGUAAAAAAUAUAGUGAAAUAACCUUCCCUAUUCUUUCCCCGGACCCUGCUACUAAGAAGGAUGUUCACUUCUUAAAAUAUCCUAUAUACGUAGGCGGGAACAGGGGAAGGGGUCAGAUUUAUCCCGACGGCAACAAGAGUAACAAUACAGUUUAUAAUGCUACAGCAGCAGGUAUAGUAAGCAAAAUCAUACGAAAAGAAAAAGGGGGGUAUGAGAUAACCAUAACGGAUGCGUCGGAGGGACGUCAAGUGGUUGAUAUUAUCCCUCCCGGACCAGAACUUCUUGUUUCCGAGGGCGAAUCUAUCAAAUUUGAUCAACCAUUAACGAGUAAUCCUAAUGUAGGCGGAUUUGGUCAGGGAGAUGCAGAAAUAGUACUUCAAGAUCCAUUACGUGUCCAAGGACUUUUGUUCUUCUUGGCAUCUGUUAUUUUGGCACAAAUCUUUUUGGUUCUUAAAAAGAAACAGUUCGAGAAGGUUCAAUUGGCCGAAAUGAAUUUCUAGAUUCGCAGAUUUAUCGAUAUCAAGUACGUAAAAAGAACCAAAUUCUUGUUGGCGAUUAUUUAUGAUCAAAAAAAUGAAAUUAUGAAAACUCCUUUGUCUUAUUUAUACUCUUCUUCAAAAUCUACAUUACAUACUCUUUUUCUACGAGAUGCUGGGAAUCCCUUGUACCACAUAGUAUGUAGAUUUUGAAGAAGAGUAUUUGGCUUUCAUUUAUUUUGAUUUAGUUUUUUUUUAAUUGGAGUAGUGUAACUAUGUUACUAUUGCCAGAUUUCACUGCCAUAAAACGUAUCAAUAGUUUUCUAUUCUAAAUAGAAAGAAAGUCAAAUUUGUCUAAAUACUAGACAUAAGGAAGCGGGGGAUAAAUGCGGGGAAGAAAAAAUUCUAGGAGGGAUUAUUUGUCUUCCUAGUCUUCGACACAAGAAAGGGGUGUAGAAAAAUCCUUUUUUCUUGUGUCGAAACGAAAGAGUAAUGAUUC
rnacentral:lncRNA from 1 species